rnacentral:lncRNA from 1 species
UGUGUGGUUUCUUUUGACAAUUUUGUUUUGCAUUUUUCUCACCCGGAGUACUCUAUUUUUUCCAUUCCUGAUGUAUUUGUUUAAGGUUGGUUUCCAAUUUAGUAAUUACAUUUUGUUUGAAUGUUGACUUAUCGUUUACAAUACAAUAAUGAGACUAGCUAGAACUACAAACAAAUCAAAUUGUUAAUCUCUCCUGAAAUUCAACCUUGGUGUAAG